rnacentral:rRNA from 1 species
UACGAAGGGGGCUAGCGUUGCUCGGAAUCACUGGGCGUAAAGCGCACGUAGGCGGAUCUUUAAGUCAGGGGUGAAAUCCUGGAGCUCAACUCCAGAACUGCCUUUGAUACUGGGGAUCUCGAGUCCGGAAGAGGUGAGUGGAACUCCGAGUGUAGAGGUGAAAUUCGUAGAUAUUCGCAAGAUCACCAGUGGCGAAGGCGGCUCACUGGCUCGGUACUGACGCUGAGGUGCGAAAGCGUGGGGAGCAAACAGG